AAGGGAGACCUAAUUCAGGUAUGGGACGAAAAAAAAGUAGUCGCUACCAAGAAUCAAUCCCAAAAGGUCGGAGCGAGGCGAAAUUGGCUUUCAAACUAGGUUCUGGGUUCACACAAGACCUGAAUCAGGAACAAGGGCUAUUAGCUCAGGUGGUUAGAGCGCACCCCUGAUAAGGGUGAGGUCCCUGGUUCGAGUCCAGGAUGGCCCACCUGCACAGGUGGCAAAAACAAAGAAAAAAAGCUCCGAAUCAGCACCUUAUCUUACUUAUAUAGUAAGAGAGAAUGCUGGCUCUGAGUUCAGAGUUCAGAGGAACCUUGAAAACUGCAUAGAGCUAGGUGAAAAAGCCAAAAAAGAAGACCGCAA
rnacentral:tRNA from 1 species